rnacentral:rRNA from 1 species
UAACGCGAAAGGCCUUACCAAAUCUUGACAUCCUUUGAAAACUCUAGAGAUAGAGCCUUCCCCUUCGGGGGACAAAGUGACAGGUGGUGCAUGGUUGUCGUCAGCUCGUGUCGUGAGAUGUUGGGUUAAGUCCCGCAACGAGCGCAACCCUUAAGCUUAGUUGCCAUCAUUAAGUUGGGCACUCUAGGUUGACUGCCGGUGACAAACCGGAGGAAGGUGGGGAUGACGUCAAAUCAUCAUGCCCCUUAUGAUUUGGGCUACACACGUGCUACAAUGGACAAUACAAAGGGCAGCUAAACCGCGAGGUCAUGCAAAUCCCAUAAAGUUGUUCUCAGUUCGGAUUGUAGUCUGCAACUCGACUACAUGAAGCUGGAAUCGCUAGUAAUCGUAGAUCAGCAUGCUACGGUGAAUACGUUCCCGGGUCUGUAACACACCGA